CAGCCUGCAGUCUAAGCUUCACAACGAUACCACACUUGCAAUACCAGCCUUACAACAAGUAUCUGUUACAACCUUUUGUUUGCAGCAAGGUCACUCUACGACGAAAUUUUCAAUUUAUCAUCUAUUUUCAAGUGCCCGUUCCUUUAGGAUGGGUGGAAUUGUUAUCCAUUCUUCAUAAAUAAGUGGUUUAAGUUAUUUGAACCAUUUCUUACAAUGAUUACGUGUAUCUGGAGUCGGCUGCAUGGAUCCG